rnacentral:pre_miRNA from 1 species
UUACUACUCCCUCCGUCCGGAAAUACUUGUCAUCAAAAUGAAUAAAAGGGGAUGUAUCUAGACAUAUUUUAGUUCUAGAUACAUCUCUUUUUAUCCAUUUUGAUGACAAGUAUUUUCGGACAGAGGGAGUAUUUG